CCUACGGGCGGCAGCAGUGAGGAAUAUUGGUCAAUGGACGGAAGUCUGAACCAGCCAUGCCGCGUGCAGGAAGACGGCUCUAUGAGUUGUAAACUGUUUUUGUACAAGGGUAAACCUGAAUACGUGUAUUCAGCUGAAAGUACUGUACGAAUAAGGAUCGGCUAACUCCGUGCCAUCAGCCGCGGUAAUACGGAGGAUCCAAGCGUUAUCCGGAUUUAUUGGGUUUAACGGGUGCGUAGGCGGAUGGAUAAGUUAGAGGGGAAAUGUCCGCGCUUAACUCGGGAACUGCCUCUAAUACUGUUGAUCUAGAGAGUAGAUGCGGUAGGCGGAAUGUAUGGUGUAGCGGUGAAAUGCUUAGAGAUCAUACAGAACACCGAUUGCGAAGGCAGCUUACCAAUCUAUAUCUGACGUUGAGGCACGAAAGCGUGGGGAGCAAACAGGAUUAGAUACCCGGGUAGUC
rnacentral:rRNA from 1 species